rnacentral:rRNA from 1 species
CCUACGGGUGGCAGCAGUGGGGAAUAUUGCACAAUGGGGGAAACCCUGAUGCAGCGACGCCGCGUGAGUGAAGAAGUAUCUCGGUACGUAAAGCUCUAUCAGCAGGGAAGAAAAUGACGGUACCUGACUAAGAAGCCCCGGCUGACUACGUGCCAGCAGCCGCGGUAAUACGGAGGGGGCAAGCGUUAUCCGGAUUUACUGGGUGUAAAGGGAGCGUAGACGGCAGCACCAGUCUGGAGUGAAAUCCCGGGGCUUAACCCCGGAACUGCUUUGGAAACUGUGCGGCUGGAGUGCAGGAGGGGUAAGCGGAAUGCGUGGUGUAGUGGUGAAAUGCGUAGAUAUUAGGAGGAACACCGGUGGCGAAGGCGGCUUACUGGACUGUAACUGACGUUGAGGCUCGAAAGCGUGGGGAGCAAACAGGAUUAGAUACCCGUGUAGUC